rnacentral:rRNA from 1 species
GGGCACCACCAGGGGGUACAGCUGCGGCUUAUUUGACUCAACACGGGGAAUCUCACCAGGCCCGGACACCGGAAGGAUUGACAGAUUAACAGCUCUUUCUUGAUUCGGUGGGUGGUGGUGCAUGGCCGUUCUUAGUUGGUGGAGCGAUUUGUCUGGUUAAUUCCGGUAACGAACGAGACUCUAGCCUGCUAAAUAGGCGUCGCCAUUUAGGUGUGCUCGGCUUCGGUCGUGCAACUCACUGGCGACGUAUUAAAAUUCUUCUUAGAGGGACCGGCGGCUUCGACCGGCACGAGUUUGAGCAAUAACAGGUCUUGGAUGCCCUUAGAUGUCCUGGGCCGCACGCGGCCUACACUGAAGGAAUCA